CAGGGGUUGCCUUAGUAGCGGCGAGUGAGCGGCAAAAGCUCAAAUUUGAAAUCUGGCACCUUCGGUGUCCGAGUUGUAAUUUGAAGAUUGUAACCUUGGGGUUGGCUCUUGUCUAUGUUUCUUGGAACAGGACGUCACAGAGGGUGAGAAUCCCGUGCGAUGAGAUGCCCAAUCCUAUGUAAGGUGCUUUCGAAGAGUCGAGUUGUUUGGGAAUGCAGCUCUAAGUGGGUGGUAAAUUCCAUCUAAAGCUAAAUAUUGGCGAGAGACCGAUAGCGAACAAGUACAGUGAUGGAAAGAUGAAAAGAACUUUGAAAAGAGAGUGAAAAAGUACGUGAAAUUGUUGAAAGGGAAGGGUUUGAGAUCAGACUCGAUAUUUUGUGAGCCUUGCCUUCGUGGCGGGGUGACCCGCAGCUUAUCGGGCCAGCAUCGGUUUGGGCGGUAGGAUAAUGGCGUAGGAAUGUGACUUUGCUUCGGUGAAGUGUUAUAGCCUGCGUUGAUGCUGCCUGCCUAGACCGAGGACUGCGAUUUUAUCAAGGAUGCUGGCAUAAUGAUCCCAAACCGCCCGUCUUGAAGCACGGACCAAAA
rnacentral:rRNA from 1 species